UCUCCGUAGGUGAACCUGCGGAGGGAUCAUUACUGAGUGAGGGCUCACGCCCGACCUCCAACCCUUUGUGAACACAUCUUGUUGCUUCGGGGGCGACCCUGCCUUCGUGCGAGGCGCCCCCGGAGGCUCAUCAAACACUGCAUCUCUGCGUCGGAGUUUAAAACAAAUUAAACAAAACUUUCAACAACGGAUCUCUUGGUUCUGGCAUCGAUGAAGAACGCAGC
rnacentral:misc_RNA from 1 species